GUGCUCACUUUGGUAGCACACAGACUAAAACUGGAACGAUACAGAGAUUAGCAUGGUUCCUAAGCAAGGAUGACACGCAAAUUCGUGAAGUGUUCCAUAUUUUA